rnacentral:rRNA from 1 species
GAUGAACGCUGGCUACAGGCUUAACACAUGCAAGUCGUGGGGAAACGGCAUUAUGUGCUUGCACAUUCUGGACGUCGACCGGCGCACGGGUGAGUAUCGCGUAUCCAACCUGCCCCCUACUUGGGGAUACCCCGUUGAAAGACGGCCUAAUACCCGAUGUGUUUCAUUGACGGCAUCCGAUAUGAAACAAAGGUUUUUCCGGUAAGGGAUGGGGAUGCGUCUGAUUAGCUUGUUGGCGGGGCAACGGCCCACCAAGGCGACGAUCAGUAGGGGUUCUGAGAGGAAGGUCCCCCACAUUGGAACUGAGACACGGUCCAAACUCCUACGGGAGGCAGCAGUGAGGAAUAUUGGUCAAUGGACGCAAGUCUGAACCAGCCAAGUAGCGUGCAGGAUGACGGCCCUAUGGGUUGUAAACUGCUUUUAUGUGGGAAUAAAGUGGCGCACGUGUGCGCCAUUGCAUGUACCU